rnacentral:tRNA from 3 species
GGAAGACUGCCAGAACGGUCAAUGGCCCCGCUUUGAAAGCGGUGAGAGUGCGCAAGCGCUGUGGGGGUUCGAGUCCGCCCGUCUUCCGCCA